rnacentral:rRNA from 1 species
CCUACGGGGGGCAGCAGUGGGGAAUAUUGCGCAAUGGGCGAAAGCCUGACGCAGCGACGCCGCGUGAGGGAUGAAGGUCUUCGGAUCGUAAACCUCUGUCAGCAGGGAAGAACGGUCACUGUGCUAAUCAGCAGUGAAUUGACGGUACCUGCAAAGGAAGCACCGGCUAACUCCGUGCCAGCAGCCGCGGUAAUACGGAGGGUGCGAGCGUUAAUCGGAAUUACUGGGCGUAAAGCGCUCGUAGGCGGUAUGUCCAGUCAAGGGUGAAAUCCCCGCGCUCAACGUGGGAACUGCCUUUGAAUCUGGCAAAAGGGAGUGGGUGAGAGGAUAGUGGAAUUCGAGGUGUAGGAGGGAAAUCCGUAGAUAUCUGGAGGAACAUCAGGGGGGAAGGCGACUAGCUGGAACAUAACUGACGCUGAGGAGCGAAAGCGUGGGUAGCAAACAGGAUUAGAUACCCGGGUAGUC